rnacentral:rRNA from 1 species
GUCUACGGCCAUAUCACGUUGAACACACCGGUUCUCGUCCGAUAACCGAAGUUAAGCAACGUCGAGACCUGUUAGUACUUGGAUGGGUGACCGCCUGGGAAUACCGGGUGCUGUAGGCU